rnacentral:misc_RNA from 1 species
AAUAUUCCUUGCUGAAGAAUACAUUCACUUAAAAUUUAAAUUCACAAGAGGUUAUCAUGAGCUAUAAUGAAAUAAAAUAUUGAGUUACAAUCAUUAGUCUCCAGAAUUACUUAUUGACCUCAAACCCAGUCCCUUUCAUUAUAAGUUACAAACCAGUAGACGAAAUAAUUCAUUGUCUAGUACAGCUACUCAUCGUACAACAGGAAAAAGCAGGAAGUAUUGUUGUUUCAAAAGUUUCUCACAGUGUCGAUGGAUCUGAAAAGAGUAGCAAAACUUCCUUUCAGCUUAAGAUGCUUUCAGUUCAUCCAUUCCAACGCUGGCCAAGAACUUGUGGUUCUCUUCAAGAAGCGGUGAGAAAGUAGUACAGAAUUUUUCAAUGUCGCUAUUUAUAUCACCAGUCCCACAUAUUACAUCCAUAAAUUUCUUCCUGUCUGGAGCGAGCUUCAUAGCCACCGUAAAACUUGAACUCGCUAGCCAUCCAUGCCACUUUUUCAAUGUCUUGCUGUAGGAAUCAGAGCAAGCUUGUGACAUAGCCCAGUCCUGAUGCUCCAGUAAAUUUCUAAACAGUGCCACCAGAAAAUCCAUCGCCCUUGUCAACCAAAGAAGACCAUUUGUGCAACUGGAAGAGCCUUUUGCUGUCUUUGCCUCAACCUCUUCUUGCACCAUACUGUACAAAUUUGUAUAUUUUGUUGGGUUCGACAAGUACUUGUUUUCUAACCUCAUUAUAUUUCCACCAAUGUCAGACUUGACCAGUGCCAUGGCAGCUCCAAACUUUUCUAUAAUAGGUAAGAUGUGUUUGCAGACAUCUAAGAAAGGUGUGGUAAGCAUUACUCCUUCCUCAGACUUGACAUGCUUGAUUCCUUCUAAAGCAGGGGCAAAGACAGUGCCUUCCAUUCUUGUGCUUUAAAAAAGAUAUACCUUAUCAAUGUGCGCUCUCUAGAUUUUUGAGCUUCCGACGAACGCUACUGCCAA